rnacentral:ncRNA from 1 species
UAAGUGGAGAGUUUGAUCCUGGCUCAGAACGAACGCUGGCGGCGUGCUUAACACAUGCAAGUCGAACGAGAAAUCGGGCACUCAGGCAACUGAGUGCUAGAGAGUAAAGUGGCGCACGGGUGAGUAACACGUGGGUAACCUGCCCCCGAAUCUGGGAUAACUUCGCGAAAGCGUUGCUAAUACCGGAUAUUGUCCUAUUGGUUAUGACCUUUGGGAUGAAAGGCAACCUCUUCAUGAAAGUUGUCGUUUAGGGAUGGGCCCGCGUACCAUUAGCUUGUUGGUGGGGUAACGGCUCACCAAGGCUACGAUGGUUAGCUGGUCUGAGAGGAUGAUCAGCCACACUGGAACUGAAACACGGUCCAGACUCCUACGGGAGGCAGCAGUGAGGAAUUUUGCGCACUGAUGAUUAAUAGUUGUCAGAUCUGAUGGUACCACUGGAGGAAGCACCGGCUAACUCCGUGCCAGCAGCCGCGGUAAUACGGAGGGUGCAAGCGUUGUUCGGAAUUACUGGGCGUAAAGGGCGUGCAGGCGGGUUGGUAAGUCAGAUGUGAAAGCCCUGGGCUUAACCCAGGAAGUGCAUUUGAAACUGCCAUCCUUGAGUAUGGGAGAGGAGAGUGGAAUUCCCAAUGUAGAGGUGAAAUUCGUAGAUAUUGGGAGGAACACCCGUGGCGAAGGCGACUCUCUGGACC